rnacentral:rRNA from 1 species
AGCGAACGUUUGCGGCGGGCUUAACACAUGCAAGUCGAACGAGAAUCCCUUCGGGGAGGAAAGUGGCGCACGGGUGCGUAACACGUGGAUAACCAACCCAUUGGUUUGGGACAACACCGGGAAACUGGUGCUAAUACCAGAUGUGUCGCAGCUGUCUUCAGGCGGUUGCGAGAAAGGCCCGCAAGGGUCGCCAACGGACGGGUCCGCGUCCCAUCAGCUAGUUGGUGAGGUAAUGGCUCACCAAGGCAAAGACGGGUAGCUGGUCUGAGAGGAUGAUCAGCCACACUGGAACUGAGACACGGUCCAGACUCCUACGGGAGGCAGCAGUGGGGAAUAUUGCGCAAUGGGCGAAAGCCUGACGCAGCCACGCCGCGUGAGCGAUGAAGGUCUUCGGAUCGUAAAGCUCUGUGGGGGGAGAAGAAGAAAGCCGGUGAAGAGCCGGCCCUGACGGUAUCCCCUUAGCAAGCACCGGCUAACUCUGUGCCAGCAGCCGCGGUAA